CUUAUCCUCUGACACCUUUGGACCGAGGAAGAAAAAGCCAAUGGGCAAAGGAGCAAACCUGCCAUAUAAUAAGCACUGAACCAAGGAAAUGUUCACUCACAAUCUUGACUCUUCAGCGACACAAAUGGUUUGUGGCCAAAGUUCAGACUGCUUAAAUUACGUGCCAUCACCCAUACUCACCAGCACUCUGAGAAACAACAAGCCGCUCAGUGAUGGUAAACAACACUCACGAGGAAACCACUUCAAAAGCUCAGGUUGGACAUAGAACCUUGGCAAACAAAUGGAUUGAUAUUGAGGUUCCAACUGAGGAAGCUGGGACACAUCUCAAACGCAACCUCCUUUCAAGUCCUGAGUGGAGGACCACCCCAUUUCACAGUGACUCAUCUUUUGGACGAAUCUCCAGAUCUGUUGUGGAAGAGUACUGGUCAUGUUUUGUUACAAGAGGGACAUAACGUUUUAGAGAAACUAAGAGAGGUAGUAGAAAGUAUAUGUGUGUUCCAUUUCUUUAAAAAUUGCAUAAAAAUGCAUUAGCUCAUCCUUCUAUGUUCAGAAUGCAGAGAUUUGGCUGUUUGCUAACCUUAGUUUCAACUGAUGCAAACUUAUUCUAAUACAAACUCUCAAUGUCAUUUUUUCAGAGAACUCUGGCAUUCUUCAAUAACAUCACU